rnacentral:rRNA from 1 species
CAGGCCUAACACAUGCAAGUCGAACGCACCUUUCGGGGUGAGUGGCAGACGGGUGAGUAACACGUGGGAACGUACCCUUUUGUUCGGAAUAACCCUGGGAAACUAGGGCUAAUACCGGAUACGCCCUUUUGGGGAAAGGUUUACUGCAGAAGGAUCGGCCCGCGUCCGAUUAGCUUGUUGGUGGGGUAAUGGCCUACCAAGGCUUCGAUCGGUAGCUGGUCUGAGAGGAUGACCAGCCACAUUGGGACUGAGACACGGCCCAAACUCCUACGGGAGGCAGCAGUGGGGAAUAUUGGACAAUGGGCGCAAGCCUGAUCCAGCCAUGCCGCGUGAGUGAUGACGGCCUUAGGGUUGUAAAGCUCUUUUAUCCGGGACGAUAAUGACGGUACCGGAGGAAUAAGCCCCGGCUAACUUCGUGCCAGCAGCCGCGGUAAU